UACGGAGGGUGCAAGUGUUAUUCGGAAUCACUGGGCGUAAAGAGCACGUAGGCGGAUAGGCAAGUCAGAUGUGAAAUCCCGAAGCUCAACUCCGGAACUGCAUUUGAUACUGCCUGUCUUGAGUGAGGUAGAGGGGAGUGGAAUUCCCGGUGUAGAGGUGAAAUUCGUAGAUAUCGGGAGGAACACCAGAGGCGAAGGCGACUCCCUGGGCCUCUACUGACGCUGAGGUGCGAAAGCGUGAGGAGCAAACAGGAUUAGAUA
rnacentral:rRNA from 1 species